GCCAGGCUCUGGCCCUUGGGCCAGGCUAUUAGCUCUGCCCCUUCAGGUAUGUGCCAGGGCAGAGAUGAGUUCUGCCAGGGCCAUCUGUUCUGAGGGCACAGGGACGCAUGGCCUCAGGACUUCUAGGGUGAAGCAAAGCAGGCAGCUGCUGCUGCUGCUGCUGCUAAGUCGCUUCAGUCGUGUCCGACUCUGCGACCCCAUAGACCGCAGCCCACCAGUCUCCUCUGUCCCUGGGAUUCUCCAGGCAAGAAUACUGGAGUGGGUUCCCAUUUCCUUCUCCAAAAGAAGGCAGGGGUCAUAUGAAUUAAGGAUUUAGGACCUGAUGCUGCCUCUAUGUGAUCUUGGGCAAGUCACCUCUUUGCUAGGCCUCUGAUUCUCCACCUGUACUAUAAAAGAUUUGGAUUAAAUGAUCCUAAAAUUAUUACUUUGCCAACAAAGGUCCGUCUAGUCAAGGCUAUGGUUUUUCCAGUGGUCAUGUAUGGAUGUGAGAGUUGGACUGUGAAGAAAGCUGAGUGCUGAAGAAUUGAUGCUUUUGAACUGUGGUGUUGGAGAAGACUCUUGAGAGUCCCAUGGACUGCAAGGAGAUCCAACCAGUCCAUCCUAAAGGAGAUCAAUCCUGGGUAUUCAUUGGAAGGACUGAUGCUGAAGCUGAAACUCCAAUAUUUUGGCCACCUCAUGUGAAGAGUUGACUCAUUGGAAAAGACUCUGAUGCUGGGAGGGAUUGGGGGCAGAAGGAGAAGGGGACAACAGAGGAUGAGAUGGCUGGAUGGCAUCACUGACUCAAUGGACAUGGGUUUGAGUGUACUCUGGGAGUUGGUGAUGGACAGGGAGGCCUGGCGUGCUGUGAUUCAUGGGGUCACAAAGAGUCGGGCAUGACAGAGUGACUGAACUGAACUGAACUGAACUGAAUGAUUAAUUAAUGAUCCUGAGACCCAUGCAGCUGGGAUUUAGUACGUGGUUAGUGGGAGGAAGCAGAGAGGAGGAGCAUCAUCUAAGAACCUGGGCAAACCAUGUAUACAGGCCGGCAGAAUCAGGAGGAGGGUGUCUGAGCUCCUUCCCACUGCCUUCAGCAGGGACUUGCCAAAAGCACCAGGGAAAGAAGAGUCUCUCCCAAGAAGUGCGUCUUUGGCAACCUUCUACCCAGGCCCCUCAGAGGGUCAUAACUUCCCCGUCAGAGUUCCCGCCUCUCUGGAAGCUGUGAGGCUCCAUUUGGAACCCAGAGUCUACAGGGUAAGGUUGUGGGCUUUGAGGUGUUAGGC
rnacentral:lncRNA from 1 species